rnacentral:tRNA from 1 species
GGACCGGUAGCUCAGCUUGGUGGAGCACCUGGAGGGGUGGCAUUGUGACCCUUGGUGAAACUUUUACCAAAGUUGGAAGACAUCAGGUGGUCGCGGGUUCAAAUCCCGUCCGGUCCA